rnacentral:rRNA from 1 species
AACGAACGCUGGCGGCAUGCCUAACACAUGCAAGUCGAACGAGACCUCCGGGUAUACUGGCGCACGGGUGUGUAACGUGGGGGAACCUGCCCUUAGGCACGGAAUAACCCCCCGAAAGGGGUGCUAAUACCGGAUAAUGUCUUCGGAUCAAGGAUUUAUCGCCGUUGGAUGGGCCCGCGUUGGUUUAGCUAGUUGGUAGGGAAAAAGCCUACCAAGGCGACGAUCCAUAGCUGGUCUGAGAGGCUGAUCAGCCACACUGAGACUGAGACACGGCCCAGACUACUGCGGAAGGGAGCAGUGCCGAAUAUAGGACUAUGGGCGGAAGCCUGAUCCAGCACUGCUGGGGUAGAAAUGAAGGCCGUAGGGUUGUGAAGCACUUUUAUCCGUGAUGAUAAUGACAGUACCGAGAGAAGAAGAUCCGGCUAACUCCGUG